rnacentral:rRNA from 1 species
UACGAGGGGGGCAAGCGUUGUUCGGAAUUAUUGGGCGUAAAGGGCGCGUAGGCGGUGCGGUAAGUCGGGUGUGAAAUCUCGGAGCUUAACUCCGAAACUGCAUUCGAUACUGCCGUGCUUGAGGACUGGAGAGGAGACUGGAAUUCAUGGUGUAGCAGUGAAAUGCGUAGAGAUCAUGAGGAAGACCAGUGGCGAAGGCGGGUCUCUGGACAGUUCCUGACACUGAGACACGAAGGCCAGGGGAGCAAACGGG